rnacentral:rRNA from 1 species
GACGAACGCUUGCGGCGUGCUUAACACAUGCAAGUCGAACGGUAAGGCCCUUCGGGGUACACGAGUGGCGAACGGGUGAGUAACACGUGGGUGAUCUGCCCUGCACUUCGGGAUAAGCCUGGGAAACUGGGUCUAAUACCGGAUAGGACCACUGCCUGCAUGGGUGGUGGUGGAAAGCUUUUGCGGUGUGGGAUGGGCCCGCGGCCUAUCAGCUUGUUGGUGGGGUGAUGGCCUACCAAGGCGACGACGGGUAGCCGGCCUGAGAGGGUGACCGGCCACAGUGGGCCUGAGAUACGGCCCAGACUCCUACGGGAGGCAGAAGUGGGGAAUAUUGCACAAUGGGCGCAAGCCUGAUGCAGCAACGCCGCGUGAGGGAUGACGGCCUUCGGGUUGUAAACCUCUUUCAGCACCGACGAAGCGCAAGUGACGGUAGGUGCAGAAGAAGGACCGGCCAACUACGUGCCAGCCGCCGCCGUAA